CAAAAUUUGAAGUCUUCAAUAUGAUCAUUUUGUGGUUUCUCUUAUACUGCUACUUGUGCCUUUGUUGUUACGUUUAUAUGAUCGAAAUGUUUAACUGGUACGACGAAGUCGACCUACUCAAUGUCGUCGAUCUGAUGGGUAAUUACCUUUGAAAGACAGGAAAAACAGGCACCGAGCACUGCAUCUUGGCCUGGUAGCGGCCUUCUUCGGUGUUGGGCCACCAGAUUUCGUCCUUUUUCAACCAAUGGUCUAUAUCUGUAAGGAGUAGGAACACGAGCCAUGUGAAAGAUUCCCGAAAUCAGUCCCUUUGAUGUAUAAGGCCCCACGGAUGAUCGGGAAUACUGUUUCAAAUGCGCUUUGAUCCGUUUAUUAGAUUUACAUUAAAAUUGUAAGUUUUCUGGAAACUUACAUUUUUGUGGAGUGUUUUUCUAGGACGACUAAGAUCGUUCAUAUUGUAAAGAAUUUUCCAAAUCAAGUAGCCCGAGAAUUGGGCUGUAAGUACGCCCCUUUUUGGCCAGGUUUGCUGUGGUCUGUGACUACCUUUGAAGCAGGUCCCACAGAAUAUCUUCCAUAUGGUUUUUAUAGAACAUUUUCAGAAGCCCCGGAGCAGGACCAUGCAGGAGCGCACUAGCAUGCCGGAUAUGAAGAAACCUGUGGAGUAGAAAAUGAAUAAUGAAAAUGUUUAAUUCGCAAACACCCGUUUUUUUGAGAGCCAUAGUCCGAAGUUAAGCGCAUUAAAGAUAAUUGAAAUUUAUAUUAUGUAAAUUGCCAGUAGCGGGAAAAGUAAAAGUGGCAAAUGGGUGCAAAAACUGUUUCCCAAGAAUACAAAAAAAAGGAAAGCAAAAAAUUUUUUUCUCAUCAUA